GAAGUUAUGCUUCGUAAAUAAACGUCUGGAAGGCACUACGAUCCCAUAGGGAUAAAAAAGGCGACUCAACGAAAGUCGCCUUUUUCGUGCC
rnacentral:sRNA from 1 species